CCUUCAAUGCUACCAUCGCCAGCCCUCUAUUUUUGUUGCAUAUCGGGGACUGCCUUCUUUAAGACAUCUCUCUCUCUCAUUUAUAUAUAGGAUCAUCACCACCCUCACAAAGCAUUGUCCUCACUCAUAUUUAGAGCUAGCUAGCCACUCUCACUGCCACAUAAGAAGAAUUUCAUUUUCUUCAUAUGAUCUGAAGACUACCCUUUUAAGUUUUUUUCUUGUUAACCUGUAGAAGAACUAAUAGUUUGAUCUGUGUGUAGGAUUUUUGCAGAGGUGCAGAAGUACGGUUUCUGAGAGUAAACAUGGUGAUCUAUGGGAGAAUGGAUCCGUUUAACGGGAUAUUGGUCCGGUUCAAUAAGAAAGCGGUGCUCAAAAUGACUCGGGCGCUGCUUUUUGAUUGAGCCGUGCCAAUAUCACGUUCCGCUGCUCCCAAGUCCUCAUAUCUCUUAUCAAGGAUGCGAAGCGCCAGGCCUUGCUACUUCUCUCUUGUCCGGCUUCUCGGUUGGGGAUCGAAGAUAUAUGUCGAACGCUGGGUCUUUAUCAUGAGGAUAUAUGGUCGUAGCAACUUAAAAUUAGUUCAUUUAGAAGAAGAAGAAGAAGAAGAAGGCUGCUGCAUGGGGAACCGAUCCUCCAUAGUCUUUUAUAUCUCAAAGAAGAAGGCGUCUGCGUCCUACGUACUGUAAAUAGUCUUAAUUUCCUGAUCAUCUUGUUCACCUGCAUGCCUUCUGUCAUUUAUAUAUGGAAAGUUAUGCAAGGAAAUCCAUUUACGUAAAUCCAUUUUUUCCUCCUUAGUUUACGUAUGUGUUUAGUUUUAACUAAAAGCUUCAUUAACAUAUCAUGUCUUCCUGUAUGAUGUAAUGAUGAUUUUCCAUUAAAGUAAAAGUAUAUAUAAACUAAACUUCAUAUUAUUAA